CCAUUGCGGAACAGCAAUUAAUCAUCGUAAACAAUGGUCCCCAUCGCGGAACAGAAAGAAAGCAGCGAAAACCAUGGUCGUUAUUGAGGAAGAGCAAGAAAGCUACCGAAAACUAUGGUCGUAAUCGCGAAAUAGCAAGAAAGCAGCGUAAACCAUGUUCAGUAGCGCGGAACAGCAAGACAGCAGCGUAAACCAUGGUCGUUAUCGCGGAACAACAAGAUAGCUUCCGAAAAUCAUGUUCGCCAUCGCAGAACAGCAAGACAGCAGCGUAAACCAUGGUCGUUAUCGCGGGUCAGCAAGAAAGCUUUCGAAAACCAUGGUCGUUAUUGCGGAAAAGCAAGACAGCAGCGUGAACCAUGGUCGUCCUUGCGAUUUACAAAUUCAAAAGUGCAAUCCGGACAUUAUUGAGUGUCACUUGUUAUGUAGCUCAAACCGUCGUUAUCGUCGCUGUGCUACAAAGUCAGCAGCGCAGACCAAAAUCAUCGUCUACUAGUAAUCAAUACGUCGCUCAAACUUUAGUUCUGGCCUACGAGCAAACGAAUCAGCAGCACAUACCAUGGUCUUCAUGGUCGGGUUACCACGUGAGCAGCACAAACCAGAGUCAUCAUCUCCGAAUUGCAAAUUCAGCAGCGCAAACCAUAAUCUGUAUCGACAUAUUACCGAAAUUCCGCAGAGUGAACCCUAGUUUUCAUCGCCGAGUAACCAAUUCAGCAAGGCAAACUCUAGUCAUCAUCUACGAACUUCCGAUUCAGGCGCGGCAAACGUACUCUUUAUCGCCAAGUUACAAAGUCAGCAGCUCAAAAAAGCAUGGUCUUUAUCGCCGAGUAGCCAAGUCAGCAUCACAAACCAGCAAACGGUUUGUCGGAGAUGUGUCGGUUAUGAAGCCCUCUGCAGAUAUUAAUGAGGAGAGCAAGAACAGCCAUUCUGCGAUGAUAAUCGACGAUACCAGACUCAUACUUGUAAAAUGACGUCAAGCUUAAAUCUUGGAGGCAAUCCAUUAGAAAAUUAAAUCAAGACCGUGAUUGAGGAUGUAGUACUGCAGCAAGGAUAACGUCCGCCGCACGUUUCACUGUACUGUCAUUUUCUCAAGCGUCUAUGGUGACGCGAUAUCCCCAUCGAUGAGAAGAAAAACAGCUGUGCUACACAUAUUAUUCAACUUUUCAAGAGAUAGUAAUUUCUUCCCCAGAUAGUUUGCGACUAAAUAAAUCGUGUGACAAUACCUACUUGUGAUGUUGCGUAUAUUGAAAUUCGCUUAUGUGCUAUUGUGCUAUUUUUUAAUAGUGUGCCGUCAUUGUUAACGGGGUGGCUAUGUUUUAUAGUGUGAUUUUGUAAUGUUUACUUUGUGAUGUAAAUGAAAGUAAGUACAUUUUUGUUUUGACGUUGCUAGUGUAUCGUAGUUUAACGUGUAAUACGUUGUAUCAUUUUGCGAGUUUUAGUGGUUUAUUGCAAAUGUAUGUUAAUCAAAGUCCAAAUAUAAUUUGUAUCUGUAAAUAUAAAGGUGCGAAUAGAUUUUUUUUCACUUUGGUCAUUUAGAAUAAACAUAUAAAUUAAAUGAACAGAAGGUGUGUAAAUGUAUAUAGAAUGUAAAUACCCUAUUUAAAUUGUGCACUUUGAUGCAAUAGGCAUUAACUGUAUGAAUUGAUUAAAACAUUUUUUUUUAAGUUUCACAUUUUAGCUUGCUUUUGAAAUGUCGUUUUGCACAUGUAAAUAUGUCCAGUUAAAAUGAUUUACAUUAGUGAAUUCAAAUGUGUGUUCAUUUUUUUCGCAUAGCCGUUAUGGUUAUUGUUUUGUUGUUGUCAUGCUAAACGUGACCAUGUACGUUAUGUAUUGCUGUAAAUUAUACGAACGUCGUCCUUUGAAAAUAAUAAUGUAAACAAAUUAUGAAAAUAGAAUGCAAAUGCAUAUUUUGUCAUACAUAAAUAGUGGUGUUAGUCGAUUAAUUCCAACAUACGAAUUAUUUUGUUAUUACCUGUUCAUACAUUAUUCUUUAAAUUGUUACUUUAUUAUUGUAAGUCAAUGUAUGCCAACAUUAUGAGCAUCUUUUUAUAACAUGUAUAUAUUUUACUUUUUAUUCAUACUUUAAAAUUGUAAGUCGAUUAAUGCCAACAUAAGGAUAAUUUUGUUAUUACAUGUAAAUACAUUUUACAUUGAGUUUUCAUAAUUAUUACUUUUUUUUUGCUAGACCAUUCAUGCAAACGUUAGGAUCGUUUCAAGCUUUUAGUUACUGAUAACUAACAUACCAGUCACUAGUACUCAGUCGCUUAAGUAAAAUCAUUUAUAUUUCAUAGUAUCUUAAAUGCCGUUAACCAAUAUAUGUGACAAAACGAUACUUCUAGUACAUAUAUUGUUCUGACACCGUUAAUUACGUAUCCUGGCAAAUACAAUAAUUUUAAGUUUUAUUUGUAGUACAAUGUGUAUCGGUCAGGCAUUUUAGUUUUAUACGUGUUCUGUAAAUAUUACAUGACUGUUUACAAAUAUUAUAUGUGUUUUUUUACUAUUCUUUAAUAUCGCGUGCAUGUACGUUGAACGCUACUUAUAAAAUAUAAAGACGUGUAAAAUUUAAGUAUAACAAAUUAACUAUGAUGUAAUAGCUUAGUAUGCCUUAAAUGUAUAGUUUGUUAGCUCACCUGAGCACCUAAUGCUUAAAGGGGGCUUUUUGAUACCAUGCUGUCCGUCGUCCGUCAGUCCGUGUGUCUUUUCCUCAAUUGGGUUCUUCUUACGACUUCUCUUGGGCACAUUUUAAUGAAUUUUCAUAAGAAUGAUCAUUGGGUGACCCAAUUGUGUUCCAAUCGUUCCGGUUAAUUUCAUAUUUAGGUCACCGAAACUAAAUAAAGUUGUAAUUAAUAAAACUUAAAAUAUAUAAAACGAGCUUUAAAGACCAUAACUGUAUAAUGAGCAAUGUAAGCCUCAAUUGAUUAAAAUCUCUUUCGGUACGAAAUAAUAAUUUUCGAACGGUACUUAAAUGAAUUCAUGAAUUAGGGUCUGUGGCAGGUUAAUAUCGGCGUGUAAUACAAAUAAAGACCCUUUUGCGACAGCUUCUGUUGACCGAAAAUGAAUAAUAUCUUUAUAAAAUUACUACAAAUAAAAAACUCUGAAAGGAAUUAUGUAGUUUGUAUUUAAAUAUGUUCUUAUGUUGUAAGAAUCGAUUUUAUUUUGUUUUGUAAAAGGAUUUUUAUAAAUAAAUAUUAACAUUUCAAAUACAAUUUUAGCGAAUGAUAGUUUACAUUGUAAAAUGCACCAUUUUUAUAUUUACCGAAAGUUCAUCUGAUGAGGCUUAGAUUGGAUUAUAUAUGUAUCACAAGUGUUUGUAUGUGUAAUAUAUCAUUUAUUGUUUAAAACACGUUGAUAAUUAAUGAAAUGUUGUAUAAUGUAUUGAAUAUUAGAAGAUUGUCAGAAAAUAUUAUUUUUACAUGUAUUUGUCCUGGAAUAAUAUUAAAUAUUUCUGUAUAAACCUUGAUACAACUAAAUAAGAAAUAAUAUUAAAGAUUGAAAACUUCAGAAGUCCUUAUGGACUUAAAUACGUGUAUACAAGUAAAAACAUGAACAUAGGGACAGUGCUCUUUAAAAAGGGGGUUACAUGCAUGCAUGUGCGUAAAGUGUCGUCCCAGAUAAGCAUUGCAGUUCGCACAGGUUUAUCAGGGACAACGCUUUACGCCUGGAUUUUUUUUAUAAGAAUAGACGUUCUGCCAACGAAAAAUACCAUAAACGCGGAAAGUGUUGUCCCUGAUUAGCGUGUGCGGACUUUACAGCCACAUAUAAGUCGACAAUUUACGCACAUGCAUUAAACCCCCUUUUCACAGAGCACAGCCUAUAUGUUCAAGUUUUUACUUGUAUACGCGUUCUAAUGUCCGUGAGGACUUCUGAAGCUUUUAAUCUGAAAUUAUGAUUGGAAUAAUACGGCUAGUAAUAGAACGUUGUUUGGUUAUAAUUUAUUCACGACAAACGGCUUGUUUUUUGUUUUUUUUUAACAAGGAGUAUAUAAAAUGUGGAUUACUCUGAAAAAAAUUAAUCGGCGGCGUUUAUUGUUUGAAAAACACAUGUAGUACUAAAUACUUCAGUGUAAUUUGACAGUGAAAUGCACGUGUUUAAAUGCUCCCAAUCAA